GUGGGGAAUCUUCCGCAAUGGACGAAAGUCUGACGGAGCGACGCCGCGUGAGUGAAGAAGGCCUUCGGGUCGUAAAGCUCUGUCAUCAGGGACGAACGGCCGGUGGAGUGGAAAGCCACCGGAUUGACGGUACCUGAGAAGGAAGCCACGGCUAACUACGUGCCAGCAGCCGCGGUAAUACGUAGGUGGCAAGCGUUGUCCGGAAUUAUUGGGCGUAAAGCGCGCGCAGGUGGGAUCUUAAGUCCAUUUUGAAAGUUCGGAGCUCAACUCCGUGAUGGGAUGGAAACUGGGAUUCUUGAGUACCGGAGAGGAAAGCGGAAUUCCCCGUGUAGCGGUGAAAUGCGUAGAUAUGGGGAGGAACACCAGUGGCGAAGGCGGCUUUCUGGCACAAUACUGACGCUCAUGUGCGAAAGCUAGGGCAGCGAACGGGAUUAGAUACCCGAGUAGUCC
rnacentral:rRNA from 1 species